UCUGACGUUAGCGGCGGACGGGUGAGUAACACGUGGAUAACCUACCUAUAAGACUGGGAUAACUUCGGGAAACCGGAGCUAAUACCGGAUAAUAUAUUGAACCGCAGGGUUCAAUAGUGAAAGACGGUUUUGCUGUCACUUAUAGAUGGAUCCGCGCCGCAUUAGCUAGUUGGUAAGGUAACGGCUUACCAAGGCAACGAUGCGUAGCCGACCUGAGAGGGUGAUCGGCCACACUGGAACUGAGACACGGUCCAGACUCCUACGGGAGGCAGCAGUAGGGAAUCUUCCGCAAUGGGCGAAAGCCUGACGGAGCAACGCCGCGUGAGUGAUGAAGGUCUUCGGAUCGUAAAACUCUGUUAUUAGGGAAGAACAAAUGUGUAAGUAACUAUGCACGUCUUGACGGUACCUAAUCAGAAAGCCACGGCUAACUACGUGCCAGCAGCCGCGGUAAUACGUAGGUGGCAAGCGUUAUCCGGAAUUAUUGGGCGUAAAGCGCGCGUAGGCGGUUUUUUAAGUCUGAUGUGAAAGCCCACGGCUCAACCGUGGAGGGUCAUUGGAAACUGGAAAACUUGAGUGCAGAAGAGGAAAGUGGAAUUCCAUGUGUAGCGGUGAAAUGCGCAGAGAUAUGGAGGAACACCAGUGGCGAAGGCGACUUUCUGGUCUGUAACUGACGCUGAUGUGCGAAAGCGUGGGGAUCAAACAGGAUUAGAUACCCUGGUAGUCCA
rnacentral:rRNA from 1 species